rnacentral:lncRNA from 1 species
GUGGGAAGAGUACUUGAUCUAAAGUCUAAGUCGUUAAUGGAUAUGAUAUGGGAAGGUUGAGCUACUGUUUAUCUGUUCCUAGAGAUGCUAGAAUUCUGGAGAAUUUUAUCUUUGAAAAUCUUUAAAAUAUUGCAUGAUGAGUUCCUGUAUGAUGAGAGUUUAAAAUCCUAUCACAGCCACAUAUACAUGCUUAUUAGACUAUGAACCAUACAUUUUACUGCUUAUGAGCAUUGAGUGUGGUCAAGCUGUGUAGACCCUUAGGAGCUCGUCAUGCGGUUAAAAUCAAGAUUCACUUGCACGUUCACUCAUACAUGCUGCUUCUACUCCGGAAGUAUGCAUCCACAUACAUCUACUCAUUUCCCUCUCUAGAUUCACCCAAAAUUAUUCUACUCCUAUCCGGAGAGAAUAACCAAAAACAUUAUUGUUGGGUAUUCUUAACAUCACUACCAAAAGUAGACUUAGUUUUCUAAUUCUGAUAACGGUGCCAAAAAUGCCAGACCUAUCCCUCAUACCACUUAAGCCAAGUUGUCAUCCCCAGCAUGACAUGAAAGACGCAGUAUUGAAAUAUGCAAUUGCUCUUCUAAAUAAAUAAUGAAUGAGAUCUGCAAGCGCACAGAUUAAUACCGAUGUAGCAUUUUAACCGGAAAGUAUUCCAGGUAUCGUUAUUUAUAUUUUUACCACUGGGAAGGGAUUAGCAAUCAUCAAUAUUGAUUACAGAAUAUAAUAUGAGAUUGAGUAUCUAUCAUUGCAUGUAUAAUUGAGAACAUUUAUCCAACUCUUUCAUACAGGAAUAAGUGUCACAUAAAAGAUAUAUGAAGUAAUGAAUAGUGACAAAGAUAAUUAAUCUUAUCAGCAUAACUUAGCCAAAUAAUAAAUUUGAUAAGCACCUCAAUUAGAUAUUCUAGAAAGUCAUUAGCAUGGAAUUAGAACGAACUACAAGAAUAUUUCCUAAGUUAUUCUUAACUAUAUAGUCUAGCAUUAUCAUAAUUAGUGCAAGCAUACUUAGCAAUCAUUGCGAGACAAGACUACGCCCAUGCAUAGUGAUAUUAGCAAGGUAAAUGAGAAACAUAGCAAUCACUCCCUUGUAAUAAUGUUGCUCUGCCAGCCCAAUACACGAGAGGGGGACUAUAUAAGAAUCAAUGAAGCUGUCACUAUCACGAACUACCCCACGAUCUGGCAUAUUGUGUAGAACCGCAGAUAAAUAUGGUAUAAGCACCACGCCUACACCACGAUCUAUCAUUUACCCCUGGAUCCAAUGGAUAAACGCUAUACGAUCCUAAACAUGUAUAUAGAUCCAAUCUAACUAAGCCAAGUAUAUAACCAUAAUAAACUAAGAACAAUAUAAUCUUGAAUAUAAGCAAGUAGAGCAAAGUCAUAAGCAAUAUAUUGAAGUAGAACAAAGUCAUAUUCAUAAUAUUGAAGAACAAAGAUGAUUAGAAGAACAAUUAGAAAAACAAUUAGAGCAUUACCAAAAAUCCUCUUGAUAGAUCCAGAAAUCAAUCGAAGAUUGACUUCUUCUAGUUCUAAUCCUAUGUAGCUAUGCUAAUCUAGAUGUCUAAUUGAUGUGGUGGCUCUAAUCUUGAUCAGAGGCUUCUUCUCCCUUAAGAAUAAUGAAUUAGGGUUGAGAGGCUCUCUCCUCCAGGGGCCAGGGGGUCUGGUUUUAUAGUCCCUUCAAGUGAAUAUAGGUCGUUGGAUCAAACCGACAUUGAUUGAACGGUUAUCCUUGAUCCUUUAGGUCGGUGGAGAUUGAUCCCGAAAGAGACUCCUGUUAGGACUCCAGGAGGGGGCGGGCGCCCAGUGCCUGGCUCCGUUCGGCCUCCGCUUCCUUCCCGUGGCUUCUGGAGUCUUCUAGAUGUAAGAUAAUUACGCGGCACGUUGAUAUCUCUAUGUAAUCCCGACGUGUGGGCCUUUCUUUCGUAUUUCCUGAUAACCCCCUACAGAAAUAGACAAACACCAAAACUCGUAGAAUUUUGUCAGAUAAAACCCUAAGUCUAGAUAUUGAUUUCAUUUGGAUCCUUUUCUUUGUUUAUUUGAUAAUUAAAUUUGAUAGUUAAGGACCGUCAACAAACUCCCCCAAGCUUACCUCUUGCUCGUCCCUAAGCAAGGAUAGUCUCACUGAUGGAUCAGAAAUUGUUGCAAUAUCUUUAAAAAUUGACGGUACACAUGAUUUUAAAUAAGAUCUCAUCUCUGAGUUAGAGUGAACUGUCAAGACUUAAAACUUACUUACUUUACCUUUCACCAUGGGACUUGUAACCGUCACUUCUGUCUUGAGUAGUUAAAAGAUAGAACAGUCUAGUCAAGUGCCAUGUCUCUUAUUCUUGAUCAGCUAUAGCUCUGGAGUUUCUGCAGAUUUUCAAAUAAAACUCAGAGAUUCCUUGUAUGAUUCUCUCAGAUCUCUCUUUUGUGGUAUUUCUGGAUCCUUACCAAGGCAGUGAUGGUAUAUGCCUUCUCUCAAAAUAUGUAGUAUUUGUGGUAUAAGGCAUAGUGAUAUUGCCUUCUCUCUCACCCUACUCUAAUAAGGCUUCUAAUAUCUGGAGCUCAUAGGUGGGCGAUAAAAUAUACAUACUCACAAGACAUUUAUUGUAUAGUCAAACCAUGGAUCCAAAGAAACAAAUCAAUAAGUCAAAUUAAGAUGUGCAUGUGUGGCGAAUGAAUGGUGUAUGGUGAUGAUGAUAAUAACAAUGUUGGAAGUCUAAUUCUACUUUUGCUCUUUGAGAAGAUAUAUACCUUUCUUGCUUUUUGAAACUUUGUGAGGAGAAUGAGAUGCUCUUCUUUUUCUUUUCUGUGAGGUGGGUAUCUUGUACCCCUAAUUCUACUGUCGGACACUUGUCCUUUUUUACCUCUCGUCUCACUCUUUCUUUUCUUUCGAGGUUCCGGACACUUGCCCCUUUUUAUUUCCUCGUACCUUUUUUCUCUUUUUUUUAGAGCACUCAUCUCAUGAAAUAAUAUAGCAAGUGGUAGUAACCAAGAUAACUUGAGCAUUUAUUUCACAGGGGAAAAACAGAAAUAUUUUUGGCUAUUCUCUCCCGGAUUAGGAGUAAAAUAUUUUUGGGUGGUUCUGGAGAUGGAAAUGAGUGGAUAUAUGUGGAUGAUACUUCCGGAAUAGAAGCAACAUGUGUGAGUGAACGUGCAAGUGAAUCUUGAUUUAACCACAUGGAAAGCUCCUAAGGGUCUACACAGCUUGACCACACUCAAUGCUCAUAAGCUGUAAAAAGUAAAUGUGUGGCUCAAAGUCUAGCAAACAUGUAUAUAUGGCUUGUGGUAGGAAUUUAAACUCUCAUCAUACAGGAACUCAUCAUGCAAUAUUUUAAAGAUUUUAAUAGAUAAAUUCUCCAGAAUUCUAGCAUCUCUAGGAACAGAUAAAUAAUAGCUCAACCUUCCCAUAUCGUAUCCGUUAACAACUUAGACUUCAGAUCAAGUUUUCUUCCCACAAGUUUAGGUUUAGAGCAAGCUUUAAAUUAUAACAGUUAUGUCUAAACUAGAGAGAAAACUCAAAUUUGAAAAUUAGCCAGAGCAACUAUUCAUCAUAUCCAUGCUAGAGUUUUAUUAUUAAGAUUUAGAUUAGCAUAGCCACUUUAUUUAUUUAUUAAACACACUAAGCAAAAGAUAUAUAUAUAUAUAUAUAUAUAUAUAAGCAUAAAAUCUUUAUUUGGUUUUCCAUGUUUAUGUAUAUUUAUAUUUUAAUAUAGUAUAAGAUAGAUAGAAAUACUUAGCGGGAUAAAUGGGGGUGCUCUCCCCCAAGCUGAAUUUUGACGUAAUUUCCCUUGAUGUAGCUAGCAGGUAGCAGAGGUGUAUUUGAAAGUCGGCAGUAUCUUGACAGCGAUUAGAAUGUCCUCCGUCUGCUAGUCUUCUUGAAUUCUGUGGAGCUGAAAUUGACAACAAAGCUUUGUGGAACUGAUUAGGUGUUAGCAUAAAUAUCUAGCCUUUAUCAUGUUGAGGCACCUCAAUAAAUAUUACUCCCUAUUUUUAUAUUUUCAUUUUAUAAAGUAGAAAAGAAAUAUUUAUUUUAUUUUUAUGCCACCACAGUGAAUGUACUAAUGGGUUUCAUGCCACUCGUAUACUCACAUGGGGCUUACUGUUUUUUAACCUUUUUAUUUUCUUUUUAAGAUAGUAUGAACUUGAUUAACUAGGUAAACUAUUUAAAAUAAUUGAAAGGGAAAGGAUAACUACCAAGUUUACCUCUUGGCAAGGCGUUCGGUGUUUUUUAAGUCCUCCGAACGGGACUAUCCGUUUUCUCAAUUGUCUUGAGAUUCGUUGGGUGGCAUAGUCGGUACUUCCGGCGGCGCCUCUUCUUCAUGUAUGGUUAUCUUCUCUUUCCACACCUAACUCGGUGCUACGGUCUCCUUAGGAUAGUUCUGUUUAAAUUGUAUGUCUUCUGACCUUACCACUUCUCCUUCAUAGUCUGCCCAUCCGUCCUUGAUGAUUUGCCUCCUCUGGUUACGGUUGCGUCGUUUUCUGACCUGCUUAGAGUCUUCAACGAUAUAGUUAGGGUCAGUCAAAUAGCGGCGUACCUUCUCUGAGGGGAAGUGCAUAUGGACUUCUCCAGUUCCAAUGUAGAUAAUUGCUUUAACGGUGCUGAGGAGCGGUCUUCCAAAGAUGAUGGGUGGAUCGUAUUCGUCUUCUCCCAUGUCAAUAAUCUGAAAGUCUAUGUAGACAAAAUGAUCGUCUAUAUUGACAGGGACAUCAAUUACUGUUCCUUUAACUUCUCGAAAUGUCUGAUCUGCCAUCUGGAGUUGAAUGUAUGUUGGUUUUAGAGGCAUGGUUCCGAACAAGAGCCGAUAGGUGACUGCAGCAAUUAUGUUGACGCCCGAUCCGGUGUCGCAAACGUCUUGUAGAAGUUGUAUCCAUUUAUGGAGCAAUAGAUGCUUGGCAUUCCUGGGUCGUCCUUCUUGGUCAGAAACGGUGACUUAAGUUGAUGAUCUUGACCUCCAUGAACUACAGUGACCAUCUUAGCUGACUCGGUCCACACAUGCUUGUUCCUGUUCCUCCUGUUGGUCCUCUUCCUUGGUUCAUGUCUGGAUUGAUCUGGGAUUUGUGUAGUCUUGUUCUUGAAGGAAAACGUCUCCUUCCUCCCUUUGAUGUAGAAACUGAUCUUGGCAGCACUAGCGUAGAUGACAGCUCCCGAGGUGUUUAAGAAUGGCCUCCCUAAGAUGAUGGGUGCCCUCUCAUCAUUACCGGUCUCUAUCACCACGAAGUCUGCUGGGGCGUAUAAGGUACCAACUCGGAUACAAAGGUUCCUCAAUAUUCCUUUUGGGAAACUUAAUGCCUGAUCUGCAAACUGCAAACACAUGGUUGUUUCUAAUAAAGGAUAUGUAAAGAAUUUUUCAUAUAGUACCCUGGGUAUAAUGUUGACACUAGAGCCAAAGUCGCAGAGUGCUUCUAGGACGUCCACCAUGCCGAUGGAGAUCGGGAUGACGGGGCGUCCUGGAUCUCCUCUCUUGACCGGCAGAAGGUUAGUAGUAACUUCAGUGACGGGGUUACUCCAAUUACCUGCAUCAAACAUGUCUACAAGAUUUGCAGAUUCUAAUCCUUCCGGUUGUGAUGGUAUACCGAGGUUAGUAGUAGGAACAGCAGCAGCUAUUUGAUUUAACUGAGAUUCAAUCAUUUUAUUAAAGCUGAUUUGAUUCUUGAUGGCAGUAGAGAAAUUAUCUAUUCUAUUAUUUAUAUUUUCUAGCAUUUUAUCAUUAGAUGCCAAUUUCAUAGAUAGGUUAUCCAUUAGCUUUCCUUGAUUAGACACUAACUCUCUCAAAGGUGGAAAAUUAUUAUUAUUGUUGUAAGAAUUGUUACCUUGAUAAUUACCUGAGUAGUUAGGCCUCUAUUGAUUCCAACCUUGAUUUUGUUGAGGACGGUUAUAGUAGUUGUUGUUAUUGUUGUUGAUGUAGUUCACAUCCUCAAGCAUCUCAGGACAGUGAUUGCCUGAGUGUCCAGUAUCUCCACACUCCUCACAAGUCAUGUGAGAGUCGUAGAUGUGCAUAACUUCUUUCUUAUCUCCAGCUCUAUCAUCGAGCUUCUUCAUGAGCAGGUCUAGCUUUGCAGACAGCAUGUCUACCUCCUUGAGCUGAUGCAUACCUCCACCUCUCUUGCGUGUCUGGAUCCUCUCUUCAGUCUAGUCUUGGUUGGACGCCAUCUUCUCCGCAAGAGCUGUGGCUUGUGGUACGGUGAGUGAUAGGAAUGCUCCUCCAGCUGCAGCAUCCAUGGUCUCUCGGGCACUGUUGCCGAGCACAUGAUAAAACGUCUGCAUCAGUAUUCAACUCUCCAUUCCAUGAUGGGGACAUUCUAGGAUGUAGUCUUGGAAGCGCUCCCAUGCUUCUGGAAUGGAUUCAUCAUGUUGUUGCUGAAAACUUGUAAUCUUCCCACGGAGAGCAUUGGUCUUGCCCAUGGGAAAGAACUUAGCCAGGAAGUUUGUUGAGCAGAGUGCCCACGUAGUAUUCUUCUCCUUUGUAGCGUAGAACCACUGCUUCGCUCUUCCUAAUAGUGAGAAUGGGAAGAGGCGAAGUAGUAUAGCAUCUCUGGGACUCCUGAUAUGGUGAAUGUGCUGCAUAUCUCCAGGAAGUGUUGGAGAUGAGCACUAGCAUCUUCGUGUGCCUUCCCACAGAACUGGUUGGAUUGCACCAUGUUGAUAAGUCCAGGCUUGAGCUCAAAGUUGCCAUCAAUCUCUGCAGCAGGUCCAGUGCGGAUGUUGUCCGUAGUGGGAGCUGAGAACUCGCGGAUCGAUUUGUUCGCCAUGGCUUCGAACUCUGAAGACAAGUUCCGGUGAUCUUCUUGAUUGGAUGAAGCUUCUUGCUGAAGUGUUGAUGAUCUCUUCUUGAGCUUGGUUCUUGUUUUUCUGAAUAACGCUUUGGGAUUGUCAACAAAAUUUCCUGGAAGAUGUCUUCUAUUUAUACAUUACCCUGCAUAAGAUAAAAAUUGAAAAAUAUCGGGGUAAAACUAUAUGAGAGAAUUGAUAAGGUCUAUCACAUUAGUGAUGCGAAUGAUAACUCAAAAUCCUAUAUUCAUUCCUGAUUAGUAAUCAACCUUCCCCGGCAACGGCGCCAAAAAUGCUUGUUGGGUACUCUUAACAUCACUACCGAAAGUAGACUUAGUUUUCUAAUUCUAAUAACGGUGCGAAAAAUGCCAAACCUAUCCCUCAUACCACUUAAUCCAAAUUUUCAUCCCCAGCAUGACUUGAAAGACGUGGUAUUGAAAUAUGCAAUAGCUCUUCUAAAUAAAUAAUGAAUGGGAUCUGCAAGCGCACAUAUUAAUACCGAUGUAGCAUUUUAACCGGGAAGUAUUCCAGGUAUCGUUAUUUAUAUUUUUACCACUGGGAAGGGAUUAGCAAUCAUCAAUAUUGAUUACAGAAUAUAAUAUGAGAUUGAGUAUCUAUCAUUGCAUGUAUAAUUGAGAACAUUUAUCCAAUUCUUUCAUACAGGGAUAAGUGUCACAUAAAAGAUAUAUGAAGUAAUGAAUAGUGACAAAGAUAAUUAAUCUGAUCAGCAUAACUUAGCCACAUAAUAAAUAUGAUAAGCACCUCAAUUAGAACGAACUACAAGAAUAUUUCCUAAGUUAUUCUUAACUAUAUAGUCUAGCAUUAUCAUAAUUAGUGCAUGCAUAGUGAUAUUAGCAAGGUAAAUGAGAAACAUAGCAAUCACUCCCCUGUAAUAAUGUUGCUCUGCCAGCCCAAUACACGAGAGGGGGACUAUAUAAGAAUCAAUGAAGCUGUCACUAUCACGAACUACCCCACGAUCUGACAUAUUGGGUACAAUCGCAGAUAAAUAUGGUAUAAGCACCAUGCCUACACAAUAUAUAUCAUUUACCCAUGGAUCCGAUGGAUAAACGCUAUACGAUCCUAAACAUGUAUAUAUAUCCAAUCUAACUAAGCCAAGUAUAUAACCAUGAUAAACUAAGAACAAUAUAAUCUUGAAUAUAAGCAAGUAGAGCAAAGUCAUAAGCAAUAUAUUGAAGUAGAACAAAGUCAUAUUCAUAAUAUUAAAGAACAAAGAUGAUUAGAAGAACAAUUAGAGCAUUACCAAGAAUCCUCUUAACAGAUCCGGAAACCAAUCGAAGAUUGACUUCCUCUAGUUCUAAUCCUAUGUAGAUAUGCUAAUCUAGAUGUCUAAUUGAUGUGGUGGCUCUAAUCUUGAUCAGAGGCUUCUUCUCCCUUGAGAAUAAUGAAUUAGGGUUGAGAGGCUCUCUCCUCCAGGGGUCAGGGGGUCUGGUUUUAUAGUCCCUUCAAGUGAAUAUAGGUCGUUGGAUCAAACCGACAUUGAUUGAACGGUUAUCCUUGAUCUUUUAGGUUGGUGGAGAUUGAUCCCGAAAGAGACUCCUGUUAGGACUCUAGGAGGGGGCGGGCGCCCAGUGCCUGGCUCCGUUCGGCCUCCGCUUCCUUCCCGUGGCUUCUGGAGUCUUCUAGAUGUAAGAUAAUUGUGCGGCACAUUGAUAUCUCUAUGUAAUCCCGACGUGUGGACCUUUCUUCCGUAUUUCCUGAUAACCCCCUACAGAAAUAGACAAACACCAAAACUCGUGGAAUUCUGUCAGAUAAAACCCUAAGUCUGGAUAUUGAUUUCAUUUCGAUCAUUUUCUUUGUUUAUUUGAUAAUUCAAUUUGAUACUUAAGGACCGUCAACAAUUAUCCCAUUCCUGCUUUUCCCAGUGAAAUAAAUGCUCGAGAUAUUUUGGUUACUACCACUUGCUACAUUAUUCCAGGAGGGUGAGUGCUCUAAAAAAAGAGAGAAGAAAAAAAAGUGAAAAAUACGAGGAAAUAAAAAGGGGCGAGUGCCCGGAACCUCGAUGAAAAGAAAAAGUGAGACGAGAUGUAAAAAUGGACAAGUGUCCGAUAGUAGAACUGAGAGGAAAGAAAAAGAAAAUAUAGAGCAUCUCAUUCUCCUCAAAAAGUUUCAUAAGAGCAAGGAAGGUAUGUAUCCCCUCAAAAGAGCAAAAGUAGAAUUAGACUUUCACCAUUGUUAUCACCAUCAUCACCAUACACCAUUCAUUUGCCACACAUGCACAUCUUGAUUUGACUUAUUGACUUGUUUCUCUAGAUCCAUGGUUUGACUAUGCAAUAAAUGUCUUGUAAGUAUGUAUACUUUAUCUCCCACCUAUGAGCUCCAGAUAUCAAAGCCUUAUUAGAGUAGGAUGAGAGAGAAGGCAAUGUCACUAUGCCUCAUACCACAAAUACUAUAUACCAUCACUACCUUGGUAAGGAUCCAGAAAUACCAAAAAAGAGAGAAUUGAGAGAGUCAUACAAGGAAUCUCUGAGUUUUAUUUGAAAAUCUACAAAAACUCCAAAGCUAUAGUUGAUCAAGAAUAAGAGACAUGGCUCUUGACUAGACCAUUCUAUCUUUUAACUACUAAAGACAUAAGUGACGGUUGCAAGCGCCAUGGUGAAAGGUAAAAUGAGUAAGUUUAAAUCUUAAUAGUUUACCCUAACCCGGAGAUGAGAUCUUGUUUGAACGCAUGUGUACCUUUAAGGCAUGAAACCACUAUAGAAAUUCUUGAGUCCAUCCUUGCUCAGGGACGAGCAAGUGGUAAGCUUGGGGGAGUUGUUGACGGUCCUUAAGUACCAAAUUUAAUUAUCAAAUAAACAAAGAAAAGGAUCCAAAUGCAAUCAACACCCAGACUUAGGGUUUUAUCUGACAGAAUUCCAUGAGUUUUGGUGUUUGUCUAUUUCUGCAGGGGGUUAUCAGGAAAUAUGGACAAAAUGCCCACACGUCGGGUUUACAUAGAGAUAUUAACGUGCCGCGCAAUUUUCUAUCAUCUAGAAGACUCCAGAUGCCACGGGAACGAACGGGAAGCCGAGCGGGCUCAGGGGCAGGGUGCCCGCCCUCCCCCCUUGGGCGCUCGCCCUAGUUUUUCCACCAAUCAGAACCAAAUUCGCGGAUCAUGCUCCACCGACCUAAAGGAUCAAGGAAAACCGUGCGAUUAAUGUCGGUUUGAUCUGACGGCCCACAUUCAUUUGGAAGGACUAUAUAAGCAGACCCCCUGGCCCCUGGAGGAGGCACCCCCUUGAUCCCUAUUCAUUAUUCAUAAAUAGAGCAAAAGCUAGGGUUUCGAGAUGAGAGCUCUCCUCUCUUCUCUAAACUAGAGUAGAUCUAGAUAGUAGCGAGAUGGAGAGCGAGGGAGGAUUGGAGGAGAGGCCGGCCUGUCGGUUCUUCCUCCGCUUGUACUUCGCCAUGAUCAAGCUCUAAUCAAGCUUGCUCAUGGGAUGACUCUGGUAAUCUACUUCUAUUUCAUUAUGCAAUUACUAUCAAUGCAUGUUCUGGUUCACAACUCUUUUGAGUACUUUAAUCUAUAGGACGCUAUAGGUGAGAGUUGUAGUAUAGGUGUAAGCAUGGUGCUUAAACCUAGAUUACUUGUGGAUAUCUCCUGUCUAGCCGGAUUGUGUGGUAGGCCACGUGGGUGAGAGCUACGUUGGUCCACUGUAGUCCACCUCCCGUUAGUAGGACUGGUAGGGUUUCUCGGCCUAUGGAUAAGCAUCCUUUGUGGUGUUCUUAUCACGUCGUUCGUCCUAGACAUAGACAUACCCCUUUGAAGUAGAGAAACCAUAGUUAUCCUCUCUAUUCUCCUACCAUCGCCCAUAUAUUUGAUUGCUCUACUCUCUAUUCCCCUAUUAUUACCCAUUGUAAUCUUAAGAUGUUACCUUAAUUGAACAGUGAUGGUACCAUCUCACCUUGUGGAAGCUUCCCAUUCGUAGUGGCUGUGUAUCUUGUUUAUGUACUUUGUCUCCUUCCAUGGAUCAUCUCUCUAUGAUGAAUGAGCUAUGUCCUUCUUGUGCAAAUUGUUAAACUUCAUGUGUCUCUCUAUUCAUCUCCGAUGUGAGUUUAUCUCAGGACUUCCCAAAUUGAUAUUGAAAGUUUUUCUGCAGGGGUUAGUCCGACAAAAUAUACUAAUGUCUACACAAGCAGUUUUUAGUUCAAUAACCGAACUAGACUCCAUGUCUAAUCAGAUUAAGGAAGGCUGUUUAACCUAUGCACCAUGCUUAAUUUAAAAUCCAAUAGAAGUAUGUGCAGUACUUCCAAACUAACACUUACUAGGAUUAACAAAGGUAGCGUGAUGGCAUUUAUAGAGAUCUACUUAAGUGGAGAUGAAGUAGUGUGAUUAGUAUUUAAUCAAUUAAGCAUAUCUCAAAGGUAGGGACAACCAACAUAGCAACAUGGCAAAUGAUGUUUUCAUGUAAGGUACUCCCCCAAGCUUGAAUUUUGCAAAAUUCAAGUUUGGAUGAAUUUAAUUCAGUUUUGCAUGAUGAUUGGUUGGACAUACCUUGUGCUUGUCGUUCAUCCAAUCUUCUUGCUCUAAUCCUAGAAAGGUUAGUGACAAGAAUACCCGAAGGAGUAUUUUCACAAUUAUCUUUAUAUGGUCAAUACACAAGGCAAUAUGGCAAGGUCAUGUUACGAUCUAAUAAGCGCUUAUUUUAGGACACUAAGCUUGUCCUUGGGAAACCAUCAGUUUAUGUUGGCGAAGUGGUUUCCCCUCCGACGCCAACCUUUGUAUAUCAAGAUUAGCUCAACGAGAUCUACAAUAUUUAUUAUAGACAUAUGCAUCGACAACCACCCUUUUAAAGUUUUUGUAAAUAGAAAGGAAGAGGGGGUUGGAGAUCUCAAAUGUGGUGAUGUUGGAGAGACCAAUAGAUUGGGAAGAUGUUUCAUAUGAGCAUGGAGUAAACGAAGUGGCUAUGAAAUAAAUUCCAUGCUCAUUAAUGUUAUCUUCGUCUCUAAUCUGAAUGUUCAGAGUUUCUCUUGGAUUGGUCCCGUCUAUGUCCUCUUCUAUAGAAGGGGAGUUAAAAACUCAACAUCUGAAAUUGUGUCAAGGUCAGAAUCCAUUAAGGCUUCUUCCUUGUCCAUCCAUUCUACACAUUCUAGCCAUUUAGAACUUGUGAUCAGGAAAGGGGAGGUGUUAGAAUUUUCUAUAUGGCUUAGCUCUCCUUCUAUGACAUUACUUAACAUGUCAUCCUCAUGGCCUUUAUGACUCCUAUGGUAUGAUCGUCUUGAUGGAUUGCUAGGAUCAUCAUGAGAUUGAAAAGGAGAGGGAUGAGAGGGGUCUCUAAGGUCAAGGAUGGACUCUAGAACUUGUGAACAUGGAAGGGGAGCAGAUAGAAUUUUCUAUAUGUCUUAGCUCUCCUUGACUUGAUAUGUCAUCCUCGACUUCUUCAUAACAGGAACCAGGACAUUCUCUAAGAGAACCAUUAUUGCAAGGAUUUGAAUUAUCCCUGCUUGAAGGUCUCUUAUGGAACUAGAAGUCUAAGCCAUCAGCAUCUAAAAGAUUUAAGGUCAGAAUUCCUUCCUCCCUUGGAGAAUUUUGGGGUAUUGAUGGUUUAGGAUCGAUAGCUAAAGUUUGGGAUUGAAGUGGUUGUAAUUUGGCUAUCGAAACUUCCUCUUCUUGUCUAGGAACUGAUUCUUUCCCUUUCUCAGGAAUAUAAAUGCUAGGAGACUUUCCACUCAAUAAAUCAAUCAAAUUCCAAGCUUCACUAGCGGAUAGGUGGUGGAAAGAUCCUCUAGAGGCCGCAUGAAGGGUUUGCUUAUUUUCCCUACGAAGGCCCUUAAAAAGUGAAUUAGAAGAACUUCUCUUGGAAUAGAAAGAUUUGGGCCCGUGAGAGUAAGGUCAAUAAAGCGGUCCCAUGAUUCGCCAAGAGAUUCUUCUUCUAGUUGUCUAAAAGAAAGAAUCUCGAUCCGAAGAUCCGCCUCUUUGGAGAUCGGAAAAUAUUUAGAGAGAAAACUAUUAUAUAGCUCCUUCCAAUCUCCAUGAGCACUUCGUAUGUUGAGUUUAUACCAAUGUCUAGCUUUUCCCGUUAAAGAGAACGGAAAGAGCUUCCAUUUAAGGGUCUCAUCAGACAUGCCUUCAAUGCGAAGGAGGUCACAGGCUCGAUAAAACUCUCUUAGAUGUGUGUAUGGGUUUUCCUCACCUUCUCCUGAGAAAGGUUUUUUUUGAAGAAAUUCUAUGUAUUCCGGGCUUAUCUCAAAACUAGAUGUCAUGAUAGGCUUUGAAGAUUUUGGUGGUUCGAGAUGUGUGCCCGUAGGUCUAUUAAACUGAUAGAUAGACAUGUUUGCGUUCAUGAUAGACCAAAGAUCAAGGAUUAGAUAAGAAGAAAGUAUAGUAGAGAUAAGGCAAAGGAUAAAAGGAAUAUAUAUAUAUAUAUAUUAGAAAAUAAUUAAGCUAGUUCGUAGUCAACUCAGCAACCGUUUCACCGGCAACGGCGCCAAAAAGCUUGUUGACACUUGCUAACACCACUUGAAUACUAGGUUGUCAUCCCCAGUGUUGACGGUCCUUAAGUACCAAAUUUAAUUAUCAAAUAAACAAAGAAAAGGAUCCAAAUGCAACCAACACCCAGACUUAGGGUUUUAUCUCAAAGAAUUCCAUAAGUUUUUGUGUUUGUCUAUUUCUACAGGGGGUUAUCAGGAAAUAUGGAGGAAAGGCCCACACGUCUUUACAUAGAGAUAUUAACGUGCUGCGCAAUUUUCUAUCAUCUAGAAGACUGCAGAAGCCACGGGAACAAACGGGAAGCUGAGCGGGCCCGGGAUGGGGCGCCCGCCCUGCCCCCUUGGGCGCCCGCCGUGGUUGUUUCGGCCAAUCACGUUCUACUUCACGGAUCAUGCUCCACCGACCUAAGGGAUCAAGGAAAACCGUGCGAUUAAGGUUGGUUUAAUCCGACGGCCCAGAUUCACUUUCUUGUAUGGUAGCCCUUCUUCUUCAUCAUUUUGCCAAAUUUGCGGACAAAGAGUGCUAGUGCUUCAUCAUCACUAUCAUCAUUGGAGCACUCCUCAUCACUUGAUUCUUCCUUCUUGGCCUUGCUCUUGGAUGAAGAGCUAGCUUUGAAUGCUAUGCUCUUCUUCUUCUUAUCAUCAUCAUCCUUCUUCAUGACCUCAUCAUCAUCAUUGUCAUUGUAUUGAUCUUCGGUCAUGACAUCUCCAAGUACCUCAUUAGGAGAUACACCCGUUAAUCCACCUCUAAAGAUGAUUGUUCUCAAUGUCUUGAACCUCUUGGGCAAGCACAUCAAGAACUUGUGAAUGAAGACCUCAUCCUUCACUUUCUCACCAAGGCCCUUGAGAUCAUUGAUGAUGACUUGGAGCCUAUAGAACAUCUCUGGGAUUGACUCAUCAUCCUUCAUCUUUUAGUUGGAUAGCUUGUCCUUGAGCAUAUACAACUUUGCACUUUUUACCAUUAUAGUGCCCUCAUAUGUUUCUUCUAGUCUUGUCCACACUUCACUUGCCUUCUCAAGAUCUUUGACUUGUUCAAAUACCUUUGAAUCAAUGCCAUUGUAUAUUGUGUUGAGAGCCAUAGUAUUGCAUUGCUUGUUUGCUCUCUCAUUGUCGGUGGGGUUAGCGGGGUCAAGGAUCACAAAAUCAUUCUCCGUGACUUCCCACACUCUAUCAUUGAUUGAUCCAAGGUACAUCAUCAUUUUUAUUUUCCAAUAGUCAAAGGAACUUGUGCCAUCAAAGAACGGUGGUUUGCCCCCAACAUGGUUGAACACUAUUUGAGCCAUAAUUUGAGCACCGAGGUUGUUAAGCAUUCACAAAACGGUGACCACGGCUCUGAUACCACUUGAAAGGUCCUAAUAUGGCUAGAGGGGGUGAAUAGCCUAUUUAAAAGUUCUACAAAAACACUAGACCAAGAGGUUAGUAAAUAACAAAGCGAAGCUUUUUGCUCUAGCUCUAAUGGGGUGUUUGCAAGCCACCUACCCAAGAAUUCUAGUUGCUAUGAUCACUAUGCACACAAGAACUAAGUCUCUACUUACACUAGAGAGCUACCUAAAGUUUCUAUACAAGAAGUAAGCUACUCUAGUUUGUAAGAAAGUAAGAGAGAGAGUUUGAUCUUUAUACCACCACAUAGAGGGGAUGAACCAAUCACAAUAUUAUGAAGUCCAAUCACCGAGAGAAAUCCAAUCAACAAACACAAUGGAGACACAAGAUUUUUCUCCCGAGGUUCACGUGCUUGCCGGCACGCUACGUCCCCGUUGUGUCGAUCAACACUUGGUGGUUUGGUGGCUAAGAGGUGUAGCACGAACCUCGUCCUCACUAGGACACCACAAGAACCUACCCACAAGUGAGGUAGCUCAAUGACACGAGCAAUCCACUAAUGUUGCCUUUGGCUCUCCGUCGAGGUAGGCACAAACCUCUCACAAUCACCGGGAGAUGGCCACGAACAAUCACCAACUUGUGCCAAAACUCCUCCGCUGCUCCAAGCCGUCUAGGUGGCGGCAACCACCAAGAGUAACAAGAAAACCGCAGCUAGAACGAUCCCCAAGUGCCACUAGAUGCAAUCACUCAAGCAAAUGCACUUGGAAUCACUCCCAAUCUCACAAAGAUGUUUAAUCUAUGAAGGAGAUGAGUGGGAGGUUUUUGCUUAGGCUCACAAGGAUGUCAAGUAUGUUAGAAUGCCAAGAGAGUGAGCCCCAAGCUGGCCAAACACAUAUAUAUAGCCCCUCAAACAAAUAGAGCCGUUGGCUCUUUCGCUGGGCAAAACACGGGGUCAUCGGAUGCUCUUAAAGGGGCACCGGACGCUCAACACCAACGUCCGGUGCUCCAAAGUCAGCCACAUGUCAUCUUUCGAAACGCUCGUGUCAGAGUCUAAUGGUCACCUGCAGUGCACCGGACACUGAGCAAGUUGGCACCGGACGCGUCCGGUGCACACCGGACUCAUGCGCAGAGAGUUCCACAAACCUGCGGGUCACCGGACGCUAAGUACCGGUAGUGUCCGUUGCUCACCGGACCCAUGCGCAGAGAGGGUCGCAAAACGCCCGCACAACGGUCGCUAACCACCGGACGCUCCCUGAGCGUCCGGUGCUUCUAGUCAAACACUCCGACCGAAGUCAGAUAGCACCGGACGCAUGAACAGGAGCUCCCCACCGUCCGGUGUUCACCGUCCGGUGCUUAACCCAAGCACCACAGCACACCGGACGCUCAGCCACAGCGUUCGGUGCCUCAAAGGCCAGCGUCCGGUGAGUGUUUCUCUGUGAGGAACACUCCUGCAACUUCUCCAAAUUUCCCACCGGCGUAAUAGAAAAUAUGCACUUCAUUUUCUCAAAAAGUGCCGAAUCAUCCUCUCUCUACCCUUCAAACUCCACCUCCUUCUCAAAGUGUGCCAACACCACAACGUGUGUACCAACAAGUGCACGUGUGUUAGCAUUUUCACAAACAUUUUCUUUGAAGGAGUUAAGUUAGCUCACUAGGUUCUAAAUGCAUGCACAUGAAGAAAGACACCUAGUGGCACUUGAUAACCGCUUAGCCAAAGAAUUCCCCUCUUUAUAGUACGGCUAUCUAUCCUAAAUGUGAUCACACCCUCUGUGGUGUCUUGAUCACCAAAACCAAAACCCUAAGCAAUACCUUUGCCUUGAUCUCCAUAGGGUUUUGUUUUUCUCUUUCUUCUUUUCCAAGUUGAGCACUUGAUCACUCUGUGGUCAUCACCAUCAUCACCAUGAUCAUCACUUGCUCCAACACUUGGCAUGUAUCAACCUCAUUAAGUCUACACAUACUUAGCAUAGAGGUUAGUACUAGGGUUUCAUCAAUUAUCCAAAACCAAACUAGGGCUUUCAAUCUCCCCCUUUUUGGUAAUUGAUGACAACCCUUUUUACAAAGAUUUUCAAUAAAAUUUUCUUGGAUUCAUGUUGCUUGCCCAAGCAUUUUACCAUGUGCAAAGAUUAUGGACAAGUUUCAUAAACCCAAAUUGGUACCAAUUGCUCCCCCUACAUAUGUGCUAAGAGUUUGGAUUUGAAAGCUUGCACAUAUGCUUGAAUAGGAAAUAUAGGAGUCAAUUUCUACCAAAUGAUGCUAAGGUGUAAAGAAUGGACCUUUGAAGCAUGAUACCAAUCGGAGUUGCCAAUGUAUACCAUCCUUAGCACCAUUAGUAACUAGACAUUCACAAAAACUAGAACACCUCGUGAGAUCAACAUUAUAAACAAGGUUCUAGUACCGCUUGUGAAACAACUAAGGUCUAGUUACACUACCUAUCCAUGCUAGUUCUUCAAUUCAUCAAUCAAACUUGCAACUAGCAUACACCACACAAGCAAGGCAUUGGACAGAAAGCUUCUAAAGCUAAUGCAAAUGCAAGCAACCAUAUGUGAUGCACAUACAAAUGCAACAUACAAGUUUAUGAGCUUGCUCCCCCUACUUGUGUGCUUCAAAAUUUUAGUUGAUCCCCUUCUUUUAUCAUGUUACUCCCCUAUCUUAAAUCUUUGGUAAAUCUCUCCCCCUUUGUCAUCAAUGACUACUUAAGGUGAGCUCAAAUUUUAGAUAGGUUAGUGUGAAACCAUGUGAAGUGAGAUCAUUUUACCAAAUUGGUCCAAUCUAGAUUACUUGCCGAAGAUAUUUAACUCGGUUUGAUCCAAGGACAAGCUUCUUCACACCUCCAAAUAAGGGUUAUCUUGUACCAUGUUGAGUUAAACACUUAUAGCUCAUAUUCUAGAUCAAACACUAGGAUUGCAAGCCCACAAACAUGUCAUAUGCUACCACUAGAUCAAGUCAAACAUAGAAGCAAUAGUGCUACCAUAUAAGCAUCAAAUUCAUUUGAUUUUCAUGAAAGAUCCUAAGCCAUGUAAGGAAUGACUAGAUGCACUAAGCAAGUCCUUAGCAUAGGAUGAGUGACAUGUCAAUCAAUUUUACCUUGCUUUGCUCGAAGGAAAGGCAUGUCAUGUAAUGGGGGUGCAUCAACACAUAUUUGAGAAGUCAAGUAUGUUCAAUUCAUUCCUUAGCUUGCAAAACCUCUUCUCAUCAAGUGGCUUGGUGAAUAUAUCGGCAAGUUGAUCAUCGGUGCCUAUACUCUCAAUGCAAAUGUCCCCUUUUUGUUGAUGAUCUCUUAUGAAAUGAUGGCGGACAUCUAUGUGCUUUGUUCUUGAGUGUUGAACUGGAUUGUUGGUGAGCUUCACGACACUUUCAUUGUCACAUAGCAAUGGCACUUCUUUGAAAUUGAUUCCAAAAUCUUUCAAUGUUGCCUUCAUCCAUAGAAUUUGUGCACAACAACUACCGGCCGUAAUGUAUUCCGCUUCGACGGUUGAUAGGGCAACACUAUUUUGCUUCUUGGAUGACCAUGAGACAAGUGAUCUUCCCAAUAGUUGACAAGUGCCUGAUGUGCUUCUUCUCUCAGCUUUGCAUCCCGCAUAGUCCGAGUCGGAAUAUCCAACAAGUUCAAACUUUGCACCUUUGGGAUACCACAAACCAACAUUUUGUGUAUGCUUCAAGUACCUCAAUAUUCUCUUUGUUGCUUUCAAAUGACUUUCUCUUGGUGAGGCUUGAAAUCUUGCACACAUGCAUACACUAAACAUGACAUCCGGUCUUGAUGCGGUCACAUAGAAUAGGCUUCCAAUCAUAGACUGAUAUAACUUUUGAUCCACCAUAUUUCCACUUGUAUCACUAUCUAGACUUCCAUUUGUUCCCAUUGGAGUGCUAAUUGCCUUUGCAUCAUCCAUACCAAACUUCUUGAGCAUGUCUUUUAUGUACUUGCCUUGACUCACAAAUGUGCCAUUCUUCAAUUGCUUGAUUUGAAGACCAAGGAAGUAACUAAGCUCUCCAAUCAUUGACAUCUCAAACUCAUUAGCCAUCAUAUUUCCAAACUCCUCACAAAAUUCUUGAUUGGUUGAUCCAAAUAUGAUAUCAUCAACAUAGAUUUGCAACACAAACAAGUCUUUGCCAAUCUUCUUGGUGAAGAGAGUGGUGUCAAACUUGCCCAUCUUGAAACCUUUAGAGAGUAAGAAAUCUCUCAAUCUCUCAUACCAUGCUCUAGGUGCUUGCUUCAAACCAUACAAUGCCUUUCUUAGCUUGUAAACAUGGUUGGGUUUCUUGUCAUCUUCAAAACCGGGAGGUUGCUCAACAUAUACUUCUUCAUUGAUAUAGCCAUUGAGAAAUGCACUCUUGACAUCCAUUUGGUAAAGCUUGAUGUUAUGAGCACAAGCAUAGGCCAACAAGAUCCUAAUUGCUUCUAGUGUUGCAACCAGGGCAUAUGUUUCACCAAAGUCAAGACCUUCAACUUGAGUAUAGCCUUGUGCUACCAAUCUUGCUUUGUUCCUUACAACUAUCCCAUCUUGAUCUUGCUUGUUGCGAAAGACCCAUCUAGUACCAAUAACAUUAUGAUCACUAGGCCUCUCAACUAAUUCCCAUACUUGAUUUCUCUUGAAAUUAUUAAGCUCUUCAUGCAUAGCAUUUACCCAAUCAACAUCUCUCAAUGCUUCAUCAAUCUUCUUUGGCUCAGUGUGAGAUACAAAAGAGAAAUGCUCACAAAAUGAUGCUAAUCUUGAUCUAGUUUGCACUCCUCUUUGAAUAUCACCAAUGAUAUGAUCCAAUGGAUGAUCUCUUGCAAUAUUUGUUGGUUUGAGUAUUUGCACUUGAUUGCUUGCACUUGGUUUAUCGUGAGAUGAUGUACUAGCUUGUUGAUCUUGCACUUGUGUACCACUUGUAGUAGCUUGAUUUUGAUCAUGAGAACCACUAGCUUGCACAUUAGAGGUAGGAAGCACUUGAUUUUUGUCAUCUUCAACAUCAAUCACCUCUCUUGGCCUUAGGUCACCAAUAUCCAUAUUCUUCAUUGCAUCGGCCAAUUGAGUGCCUCUCACAUCAUCUAGAUUUUCAUCUUCCUCUUGAGAGCCAUUGGUUUCAUCAAACUCAACAUCAUGCACCUCCUCAAGAGUACCACUAGCCAAAUUCCAAACUCUAUAAGCUUUGCUAGUAGUUGAGUAACCAAGCAAGAAACCUUCAUCACAUUUCUUUUCAAAUUUACUCAAUCUAGUGCCUUUCUUCAAUAUGUAGCAUUUGCAACCAAAAACCUGAAAAUAUGCAAUGUUGGGCUUUCUACCAUUCAAGAGCUCAUAUGGAGUCUUUUCCAUCAUUGGGUGACAAUAGAGUCGGUUGCUAUAGUAGCAAGCCGUGUUGAUUGCUUCGGCCCAAAAAGAAUGACUCACAUUGUACUCACUCAACAUUGAUCUUGCCAUAUCAAUCAAAGUUCUAUUCUUUCUCUCAACAAGACCAUUUGAUUGUGGAGUAUACUUGGCCGAGAAUUGAUGCCUAAUGCCAAAUUCAUCACAAAGCUCAUCAACUCUUGUGUUCUUGAAUUCACUUCCAUUGUCACUUCUCACUUUCUUGAUGGUUGUUUCAAACUCAUUGUGUACUCUCUUGACAAAUGAUUUGAAGGUUGCAAAAGCAUCACUCUUGUCACUAAGAAAUAAUACCCAUGUAUAUCUUGUGAAAUCAUCCACUAUCACAAAUCCAUAUUUGUUUCCACCAAUGCUUGUGUAUGUAGUUGGUCCAAACAAGUCCAUGUGCAACAACUCAAAUGUCUUGCAUGUACUCAUGAUGCUCUUCUUUGGAUGAGUGUUGCCAACUUGCUUUCCAGCUUGACAUGCACUACAAAGUUUGUCUUUCUCAAAUGCGACAUCUUUCAAGCCUCUAACAAGAUCAUGCUUGACUAACUUGUUCAAUUGUUUCAUUCCAACAUGAACAAGCCUUCUAUGCCAUAACCAACCCAUGCUAGAUUUAGUGAGCAAGCAUGUUGAUAAUUGAGAUUCACUAGCAUUGAAAUCAACCAAGUAUAGAUUCUCAUAUCUAAAGCCUUUGAAUAUCAAGUUUGAGCCAUCUACACUUAUGAUCUCUACAUCAUCAACUCCAAAGAUGCAUUUGAAACCAAGAUCACAAAGUUGAGCUACGGAUAACAAGUUGAAAUUCAAGCUCUCUACUAGUAGCACAUUGGAAAUGCUCAAGUCACUGGAUAUGGCAAUUUUACCAAGCCCUUUGACCUUGCCUUUGCCAUUGUCACCAAAUGUGAUACUAUCAACACCAUUGUCAUCAUUUGGAUUGAUUGAAUUGAACAUUCUUGAAUCACCGGUCAUGUGUUGUGUGCACCCACUAUCAAGCACCCAAUGCCUUCCUCCGGCUUUAUAGUUUACCUACAAAACAAAUCAAUGUUUCUUAGGUACCCAUACUUGCUUGGGUCCUUGGAGGUUAGUGACUAAGCUCUUUGGUACCCAAAUGGCCUUCUUCUUUGGACCCACAAUUGGUGUACCAAUAAACUUAGUUUGCACACCCUUCUCACCCUUGGUAAGCACAUAACAAGAAUCAAAAGGAAUGUAAGGUACAUUAGCAUUUUUCUUGUUCUUGUUCAUUUUGUUGCAAUUAAGCUCUAGGUGUCCAACUUGCUUGCAUUUGUUGCAAUACCGACCAUUGCUCUUCACAAAGCUAGGCUUGUGAGUUGCAAAGGCUUUCUUGCCUUUCUUGGGGGUAUAGCCUAAUCCCUCUUUGUUGAGAGAAAACCUUUGGCUACCCAAGCACUUUAGCAAGCGGGCCUCACCACCAUAGGCCUUGCCUAGGGCGUGAGUGAGCUCAUCCACCUCUCUCUUGAGAGUCUCGUUCUCAACCUUUAGUGAAGCAUCACAAGUGACACUAACACUAGAAGUGGAGGUAGAGUUGGUUGUAGUGGAUGAGGACCUACAAGAAGAGUUAUUGGCAACAACAAUAGGUGGGUUGGGUGAUUCUUUAAUUAAGUCACAUGUUGUGCCCACAUCACAUGAUACAACAACCUUUUCCUUGUUCUCUUCUAACAACAAGGAGUGAGCUUUCUCAAGCUUGGUGUGAGCCUUGCCAAGCUUCUCAUGGGCAUCCACUAGCCUCUCAUGAUUAGCAUUGAGCUCAUGAAAGGAUUGCUCAAGAGCUUUUAACUUCUUGACCAAUUCUUUGCACUUCUUGUUUUUAGAUUGAAUAAGUGAAUCGGCUUGUUCUAGCAUGUCCAUGAGUUGUUCAUUAGUGAAUUCAUUUUCAUCGUCACUAUCACUAUCAUGUUCAUUUUCACUUUCACUUUCACUCUCAUCAUAUUGUACCUUGUGGCCCUUGGCCAUGAAGCAUGAAGGAGUGUUGAAGAGUGAUGGCUUGUUGAUAGCAAUGCUUGCAAGUGCCUUCUUCUUGGAUGACUUGUCAUCAUCGCUUGAAUCAUCAUCCGAAGAGGCAUCACUAUCCCAUGUCACAACAUAGGAUCCACCCUUCUUCUUCUUCUUGAAGACCAUCUUCUUGUCCUUCUUUUCUUUCUUCUCCUUCUUGUUCUUCUUCUCAUGCUCAUCAUGAUCACUAUUGUAUGGACAAUCCGCCACAAUAUAAUCGGGGCUCUUGCACUUGUAGCAUAGCCUCACAUAUUCCUUGUUCUUGGAGUUGUCCCUUCUCUUUCUUGUAUGGUAGCCCUUCUUCUUCAUCAUUUUGCCAAAUUUGCGGACAAAGAGUGCUAGUGCUUCAUCAUCACUAUCGUCAUUGGAGCACUCCUCAUCACUUGAUUCUUCCUUCUUGGCCUUGCUCUUGGAUGAAGAGCUAGCUUUGAAUGCUAUGCUCUUCUUCUUCUUAUCAUCAUCAUCCUUCUUCAUGACCUCAUCAUCAUCAUUGUCAUUGUAUUGAUCUUCGGUCAUGGCAUCUCCAAGUACCUCAUUAGGAGAUACACCCGUUAAUCCACCUCUAAAGAUGAUUGUUCUCAAUGUCUUGAACCUCUUGGGCAAGCACAUCAAGAACUUGUGAAUGAAGUCCUCAUCCUUCACUUCUCACCAAGGCCCUUGAGAUCAUUGAUGAUGACUUGGAGCCUAUAGAACAUCUCUGGGAUUGACUCAUCAUCCUUCAUCUUUUAGUUGGAUAGCUUGUCCUUGAGCAUAUACAACUUUGCACUUUUUACCAUUAUAGUGCCCUCAUAUGUUUCUUCUAGUCUUGUCCACACUUCACUUGCCUUCUCAAUAUCUUUGACUUGUUCAAAUACCUUUGAAUCAAUGCCAUUGUAUAUUGUAUUGAGAGCCAUAGCAUUGCAUUGCUUGUUUGCUCUCUCAUUGUCGGUGGGGUUAGCGGGGUCAAGGAUCACAAAAUCAUUCUCCGUGACUUCCCACACUCUAUCAUUGAUUGAUCCAAGGUACAUCUCCAUUUUUCUUUUCCAAUAGUCAAAGGAACUUGUGCCAUCAAAGAACGGUGGUUUGCCCCCAACAUGGUUGAACACUAUUUGAGCCAUAAUUUGAGAACCGAGGUUGUUAAGCAUUCACAAAACGGUGACCACGGCUCUGAUACCACUUGAAAGGUCCUAAUAUGGCUAGAGGGGGUGAAUAGCCUAUUUAAAAGUUCUACAAAAACACUAGACCAAGAGGUUAGUAAAUAACAAAGCGAAGCUUUUUGCUCUAGCUCUAAUGGGGUGUUUGCAAGCCACCUACCCAACAAUUCUAGUUGCUAUGAUCACUAUGCACACAAGAACUAAGUCUCUACUUACACUAGAGAGCUACCUAAAGUUUCUAUACAAGAAGUAAGCUACUCUAGUUUGCAAGAAAGUAAGAGAGCAAGUUUGAUCUUUAUUAUACCACCAUGUAGAGGGGAUGAACCAAUCACAAUAUUAUGAAGUCCAAUCACCGAGAGAAAUCCAAUCAACAAUCACAAUGGAGACACAAGAUUUUUCUCCCGAGGUUCACGUGCUUGCCGGCACGCUACGUCCCCGUUGCGUCGACCAACACUUGGUGGUUCGGUGGCUAAGAGGUGUAGCACGAACCGUCCUCACUAGGACACCACAAGAACCUACCCACAAGUGAGGUAGCUCAAUGACACGAGCAAUCCACUAAUGUUGUCUUCGGCUCUCCGUCGAGGUAGGCACAAACCUCUCACAAUCGCCGGGAGAUGGCCACGAACAAUCACCAACUCGUGCCAAAACUCCUCCGCUGCUCCAAGCCAUCUAGGUGGCGGCAACCACCAAGAGUAACAAGAAAACCGUAGCUAGAACGAUCCCCAAGUGCCACUAGAUGCAAUCACUCAAGCAAAUGCACUUGGAAUCACUCCCAAUCUCACAAAGAUGUUUAAUCUAUGAAGGAGAUGAGUGGGAGGUGUUUGCUUAGGCUCACAAGGAUGUCAAGUAUGUUAGAAUGCCAAGAGAGUGAGCCCCAAGCCGGCCAAACACAUAUAUAUAGCCCCUCAAACAAAUAGAGCCGUUGGCUCUUUCACUGGGCAAAACACGGGGUCACCGGACGCUCUUAAAGGGGCACCAGACGCUCCACACCAGCGUCCGGUGCUCCAAAGUCAGCCACGUGUCAUCUUUCGAAACGCUCGUGUCAGAGUCUAACGGUCUCCUGCAGUGCACCAGACACUGAGCAAGUUGGCACUGGACGCGUCCGGUGCACACCGGACUCAUGCGCAGAGAGUUCCGCAAACCUGCGGGUCACCGGAUGCUAAGCACCGGUAGCGUCCGGUGCUCACCGGACCCAUGCGCAGAGAGGGUCGCAAAACGCCCGCACACCGGUCGCUAACCACCGGACGCUCCCCGAGCGUCCGGUGCUUCUAGUCAAACACUCCGACCGAAGUCAGAUAGCACCGGACUCAUGAACAGGAGCUCCCCAGCGUCCGGUGUUCACCGUCCGGUGCUUAACCCUAGCACCACAGCACACCGGACGCUCAGCCACAGCGUCCGGUGCCUCAAAGGCCAGCGUUCGGUGAGUGUUUCUCUGCGAGGAACACUCCCGUGACUUCUCCAAAUUUCCCACCGGCGCAAUAUAAAAUAUGCACUUCAUUUUCUCGAAAAGCGCCGAAUCAUCCUCUCUCUACCCUUCAAACUCCACCUCCUUCUCAAAGUGUGCCAACACCACAACGUGUGUACCAACAAGUGCACGUGUGUUAGCAUUUUCACAAAUAUUUUCUUUGAAGGAGUUAAGUUAGCUCACUAGGUUCUAAAUGCAUGCACAUGAACAAAGACACCUAGUGGCACUUGAUAACCGCUUAGCCAAAGAAUUCUCCUCUUUAUAGUAUGGCUGUCUAUCCUAAAUGUGAUCACACCCUCUAUGGUGUCUUGAUCACCAAAACCAAAACCCUAAGCAAUACCUUUGCCUUGAUCUCCAUAGGGUUUUGUUUUUCUCUUUCUUCUUUUCCAAGUUGAGCACUUGAUCACUCUGUGGUCAUCACCAUCAUCACCAUGAUCAUCACUUGCUCCAACACUUGGCAUGUAUCAACCUCAUUAAGUCUACACAUACUUAGCAUAGAGGUUAGUACUAGGGUUUCAUCAAUUAUCCAAAACCAAACUAGGGAUUUCACCCUGGAGGAGACACCCCUUGAAUCCUUAUUCAUUAUUCAUAGACAGAGAAACAAGCUAGGGUUUGGAGAUGAGAGCUCUCCUCUCAUCUCUAAACUAGAGUAGAUCUAGAUAGUAGCAAGAUGGAGAGCGAGGGAGGAUUGGAGGAGAGGCCGGCCUGUCGGUUCUUCCUCCGGUUGUACUUCGCCAUGAUCAAGCUCUAAUCAAGCUUGCUCAUGGGAUGACUCUGGUAAUCUGCUUCUUAUUUCAUUAUGCAAUUAUUAUCCAUGUAUGUUCUGGUUCACAACUCUUUUGAGUACUUUAAUCUAUAGGACGCUAUAGGUGAGAGUUGUAGUGUACGUGUAAGCGUGGUGCUUAGGCCUAGAUUACUUGUGGAUAUCCCCUGUUAGCUGGAUCGUGUGGUAGGCCGCGUAGAUUUAUCUGUGUGCGUAUAAAUACCAUAGUACACUCUAGUGCCAUGUACUAUCUGUGUGCUACACCCAGCAUGGCAUUAUAGUGUAUCAUGGUAUUUAUACGCACACAGUUAAAUCCGCAAGCGCACGGAUACCGUUGUAGCUUUUACCCGGUUAAAGGUUUUAUCGUAUCCACAGGGAAAUGGGAGAACCAACUACGCUCUAACUUAACCAAGAUAGAUAGAUAGGUGUAAAUAGGAAAGAUGGUAGAAUUGAAUAAGAACAAUAUUAAAGGUAAGAUAACAAUGGGUGAUAAUAUGGGAAUAGAGAGUAGAGCAAUCUAGUCUAUGGGCGAUGGUAGGAGAAUAGAGAGGAUAACUAUGGUUUCUCUACUUCAAAGGGGUAUGUCUAUGUCUGGGACGAACCACGUGAUAAGAUUACACCACAAAGGAUGCUUAUCCAUAGGUCGAUAAACCCUACCAGUCCUUCUAACGGGAAGUGGACUACAGUAGACCAACAUAGGUGUCACCUACGCGGCCUACCACAUGAUCCGGCUAGACAGGGGAUAUCCACAAGUAAUCUAGGUCUAAGCACCACGCUUACACCUGUACUACAACUCUCACCUAUAGCGUCCUAUAGAUUAAAGUACUCAAAAGAGUUGUGAACCAGAACAUACAUGGAUAGUAAUUGCAUAAUGAGAUAAGAAGUAGAUUACCAGAGUCAUCCCAUGAGCAAGCUUGAUAAGAGCUUGAUCAUGGCGAAGUAUAAUCGGGGAAAGAACCGACAGGCCGGCCUCUCCUCCAAUCCUCCCUCGCUCUCCAUCUCGCUAUUAUCAAGAUCUACUCUAGUUUAGAGAAGAGAGGAGAGCUCUCAUCUCCAAACCCUAGCUUUUGCUCUGUCUAUGAAUAAUGAAUAGGGAUGAAGGGGGUGUCUCCUCCAGGGGCUAGGGGUCCUGCUUAUAUAGCCCUUCCAAAUGACUGUGGGCCGUCGGAUUAAACCGACCUUAAUCGCACGGUUUUCCUUGAUCCUCAAAGGCGGUGGAGCAUAAUCCUCGAGGCGGAGCCUGAUUGGUCCAGAUGAUAGGGCGGGAGCCCAAGGGGGGAGGGCGGGCGCCCUGUCCCCGAGCCCACUCGGCUUCCUGUUCGUUCCCGUGGCUUCUGGAGUCUUCUAGAUGAUAGAAAAUUGGCGCACACAUUAAUAUCUCUAUGUAAACCCGACAUGUGGGCCUUUCCUCCAUAUUUCCUGAUAACCCCCUGUAGAAAUAGACAAACACCAAAACUUGUGGAAUUCUAUUAGAUAAACCGUAAGUCUAGGUGUCAGUUGCAUUUGGAUCCUUUUCUUUAUUUAUUUGAUGAUUAUAUUUGGUACUUAAGGACCGUCAACAAACCCCCUGUUGCACGAGCUGAGUUGCGUCAAAUGGUAGACUCACUCUUGCAUGCCAUGGAGAGGAUGCUUGAUGCACGUAUACCUGCAGAUGGGCAGAGGGCUCCUCAGCAUCAAUAUGAUGAAUCUGGUGCUGAAAAUUCUGAUGCAGGACAUGACCAUUUCUGAAAUGGUCAUGUUGGUGGCAGGUAGGCUGGUCAUCAUGGCCAAGAUGGAGGAUGAGCUCAUGACGUGGUCGUGGCCAUCGUGUUCAUUUUGAUGAUGAAGAAUUUGAAAAAUUUGAUCACAAAGAGGGUCUGAUGAGAAUCUCUUUGCAAAUGAUGGGCUGCAUAGGCGGUGGCAUGAUCAUCGGCGGCAUGUUGAUCAUUGGGAUAGAGAGCAUCAUCAUGGUCAUUGUAAUAGGGAAGAUCCAGACAUCAUUGCUCGUGUCAAGUUGAGUAUCCUAAAAUUCACUAGAAGAGAGGAUGCAGACGCAUAUCUUGAGUGGGUUGAGCAGUGUGAUCAAAUUUUCAGAGUGCAUAAUCUCUCUGAACAGAGGCAUGUUAAUCUUGCUUUAGUGGAAUUCUUUGGUUAUGCUCUGACUUGGUGGAAUCAGAUAGAGCAUAAUCAACUUGUGUUGGGCCGUGCAUAUAUCAACACAUGGGAAGAGAUGAAGCAAGUAAUGAGAAAGCGAUUUGUACCAUCAAACUAUCAGGGUGACCUUCGCAAUAGGUUGCAAAUGUUGAAGCAAGGAAAAAGAUCAGUUGAUGAGUAUUAUGAGGAGAUGGAGUUGUUGUUAGUGCGGGCUGGAAUUAGAGAGGAUCCAGAGUAAAAAAAUGGCAAGAUUUUUGGAUGGUCUCAAUGAAGAAAUUGCUGGUUUUGUUGAGAUGUUUCCAUACCAUACUUUGCAAGACCUUGUUGAUCAAGCUAUGCAUACUGAAAGAAAAAUUCAGCAAGAGACACGUGAAAAAUCUUAUGCAAGUUAUUCUAUUGCUGCCCCAUAGCGCAAGCAGCAGUCCAGCACUUCUUUCGGUGGGGGAUGGUCCCAAGGUACUGCAGCUAGGCCCUCUUCAUCUAAUGCUCCUUCAAAGAUGGCGGUAUCUACAACAUCAUCUCCUAGAAAUCAGCAGUGUCCUGCUUGUUGACGGUCCUCAAGUAUCAAAUUUAACUAUCAAAUAAACAAAGAAAAGGAUCCAAAUGAAAUCAACAUCGAGACUUAGGGUUUUAUCUGACAGAAUUCCACGAGUUUUGGUGUUUGUCUAUUUCUGCAGGGGGUUAUCAGGAAAUAAGGAAGAAAGGCCCACACGUCGGGAUUACAUAGAGAUAUCAACGUGCCGCGCAAUUAUCUUACAUCUAGAAGACUCCAGAAGCCACGGGAAGGAAGCAGAGACCGAACGGAGUCAGGGACAGGGCGCCCGCCCAAGUCCUUAGGGCGCCCGCCCACCUUUUUCGACCAAUCACGCUCAAUCUCGCGGAUUAUGCUCCACCGACGUAAAGGAUCAAGAAUAACCAUUCAAUCAAUGUCGGUUUGAUCCGACGGCCCAGGUUCACUUGAGGGGACUAUAAAACCAGACCCCCUGGCCCCUGGAGGAGGCAACCCCUUGAUCAUUAUUCAUUAUUCAUAGACAGAGCAAAAGCUAGGGUUUAGAGAUGAGAGCUCUCCUCGCUUCUCUAAACUAGAGUAGAUCUAGAUAGUAGCAAGAUGGAGAGCGAAGGAGGAUUAGAGGAGAGGUCGGCCUGUCGGUUCUUCCUCCGGUUGUACUUCGCCAUGAUCAAGCUCUAAUCAAGCUUGCUCAUGGGAUGACUCUGGUAAUCUACUUCUAAUUCAUUAUGCAAUUACUAAUCAUGUAUGUUCUGGUUCACAACUCUUUUGAGUACUUCUAAUCUAUAGGACCCUAUAGGUUAGAGUUGUAGUAUAGGUGUAAGCGUGGUGCUUAGACCUAGAUUACCUGUGGAUAUCCCCUGUCUAGCCGGAUCGUGUGGUAGGCCACGUAGGUGACAGUUACGUUGGUCCCCUGUAGUCCACCUCUCGUUAGCAGGACGGGUAGGGUUUAUCGGCCUAUGGAUAAGCAUCCUUUGUGGUGUACUCUUAUCACGUGGUUCGUCCCAGACAUAGACAUACCCCUUUGAAGUAGAGAAACCAUAGUUAUCCUCUCUAUUCUGCUACCAUCGCCCAUAUACUAGAAUUGCUCUACUCUCUAUUCCCAUAUUACCAACAACUGUUAUCUUACCUUUAAUAUUGUUCUUAUUCGAUUCUACCAUCUUUCUUAUUCACACCUAUUUACUUAUCUUGGUUAAGUUAGAGCGUAGAUCAGUUCUCCCGUUUCCCUGUGGAUACGAUAAAACCUUUAACCGGGUAAAAGCUUCAACGGUAUCCGUGCGCUUGCGGAUUAUCUGUGUGCGUAUAAAUACCAUAGUUCACUCUAGUGCCAUGCUGGGGAUGACAACCUAGUAUUCAAGUGGUGUUAGCAAGUGUCAACAAGCACUUUUGGCGCCGUUGCCGGGGAAACGGUUGCUGAGUUGACUACGAACUAGUUUAAUCAUUUUAUAAAAAAAAAUAAAAUAAAAUAUAACAAAAAAAAUAUAUAUUUUCCUUUUAUCCUUUGCCUCAUCUCUGCUAUUCUUUCUUCUUAUCUAAUCCUUGAUCUCUGGUCUAUUAUGAAUUCAAAGAUGUCUAUCUAUGAAUUUCAUAGACCUAUGGGCACACAUCUCGAACCACCAAAAUCUUUAAAGCCUAUCAUAGCAUCUAGUUUUGAGAUAGACCCCGAAUACAUAGAAUUUAUUCGAAAACAACCUUUCUCAGGAGAAGGUGAGGAAAACCCAUACACACACCUAAGAGAGUUUUAUCGAGUCUGUGACCUCCUUCGCAUAGAAGGAAUGUCCGAUGAGACCCUCAAAUGGAAGCUCUUUCCGUUCUCUUUAACGGGAAAAGCUAGACUUUGGUACAAACUCAAAGUAGGGAGUGUUCAUGGAGAUUGGAAGGAGUUAUAUAGUAGUUUUCUUUCUAAAUAUUUUCCAAUCUCCAAAGUGGUGGAACUUCGGCGUGAGAUUCUUUCUUUUAGACAACUGGAAGAAGAAUCUCUUGGCAAAUCAUGGGACCGCUUUAUUAACCUUACUCUCACUGGCCCAAAACUUUCUAUUCCAGAAGAAGUUCUUCUAAUUCACUUUUUUGAGGGCCUUAGUAGGAAAAAUAAGCAAACCCUUCAUGCGGCCUCUGGAGGAUCUUUCCACCACCUAUCCGCUAGUGAAGCUUGGAAUUUGAUUGAUUUAAUGAGCGGAAAGUCUCCUAGCUUUUAUAUCCCUGAGAAAGAGAAAGAACCAGUUCCUAGACAAGAAGAAGAAGUUUCGAUAGCCAGAUCACAACCACUUCAAUCCCAAACUUUAGCUAUCGAUCCUAAACCAUCAAUACCCCAAAAUUCUCCAAGGGAGGAAGGAAUUCCGACCUUAAAUCUUUUAGAUGCUGAUGGUUUAGACUUCUCGUUCUAUAAGAGACCUUCAAGCAGGGAUAAUUCAAAUCAUUGCAAUAAUGUUUCUCCUGGUUCCUAUCAAGAAGAAGUCGAGGAUGACAUAUCAAGUGAAGGAGAGCUAAGCCAUAUAGACAAUUCUAUCUACUCCCCUUCCAUGUUCACAAGUUCUAAAUCCAUCCUUGACCUUAGAGAUCCCUCUUAUCCCUCUUCUUUUCAGUCUCAUGAUGAUCCUAGCAAUUCACCAAGACAACCAAACCAUAGGAGUCAUGAAGACCAUAAGGAUGGCAUAUCAAGUAAUGCCAUAGAAGGAGAGCUAAGCCAUAUAGAAAAUUCUAACACCUCCCCUAUUUUGAUCACAAGUUCUAAAUGGCUAGAAUGUGUAGAAUGGAUGGAUAAGGAAGAAGCCUUAAUGGGUUCUGACUUUGGCUCAAUUUCAAAUGGUGAGUUCUUGACUCCCUUUGAAGAUGAGAUUCAUCCAACUAUAGAAGAGGACAUAGGUGAGACCAAUCCAGGAGAAACUCCGAACAUUCAGAUUAGAGACGAAGAUAACAUUAAUGAGCAUGGAAUUUAUUUCAUAGACACUUCGUUUACUCCAUGCUCAUAUGCAACAUCUUCCCAAUCUAUUGGUCUCUCCGACAUCACCACACUUGAGAUCUCCAACCCCCUCUUCCUUUCUAUUUAUAAAAACUUUAAAAGGGCGGUUGUCGAUGCAUAUGUCUAUAAUAAAUAUUGCAAAUCUCGUUGAGUUGAUCUAGAUAUAGGUUGGCGUCGGAGGGGAAACCACUUCGCCAACAUAAACUGAUGGUUUCCCAAGGACAAGCUUAGUGUCUUAAAAUAAGCAUUGAUCAGAUCGUAACAUGAGCCUUUAAUUAUUUGCAACAUUACCUUGUGUAUUGAGCAUAUAAGGAUAAUUGUAAAAAAAAAUAUUCCUUCGGGUAUUCUUGUCACUAACCUUUCUAAGAUUGGAGCAAGAAGAUCGGAUGAAUGACAAGCACAAGGUAUGUCCAACCAAUCAUCAUACAACAUUGAAUUAAAUUCAUCCAAACUUGAAUUUUGCAAAAUUCAAGCUUGGUGGAGUACUUUACAUAAAAACAUCCUUUGCCAUGUUGCUAUGCUGGUUGUCCCUACCUUUGAGACAUGCUCAAUUUGUUAAAUACUAAUCACACUACUUCAUCUCCACUUGAGUAAAUCUCUAUAAAUGCUGUCAUGCUACCUUUGUCUAUUUACUAGCAAGUGUUGGUUUGGAAGUACUCGCCAUACUUCCAUUGGCAUUUAAAUUAAGCAUGGUGCUUAGGUUAAAUAGCCUUCCUUAAUCUGAUUAGACAUGGAGUCUAGUUUGGUUAUUGAACUAAAAAAAACUGCUUGAGUAGAUAUUGGUAUAUUUUGUCGGACUAACCCCUGCAGAAAAACUUUCAAUAUCAAUUUGGGAAGUCUUGAGAUAAACUCACAUCAGAGACGAAGAGAGUGACACAGGAAGUUUAACAAUUUGCACAAGAAGGACAUAGCUCACUCAUCAUAGAGAGAUGAUCCAUGGAGGGUGCCACGAACACGAUGCACAACCGCUAAGAAAGGAAAGCUUCCACAAGGUGAUACUGUACCUUCACUUUUCAAGCAAGGUAACAUCCUAAGGUAUUUGACUAUCACUUUUAUAAGCUUCUCCUUGGUUCUGGCGUUCAUAUAAAUAAAAGAGACAAACGUGUAUGAUUUACAACUCUAGAUUAACCAACCCAACUGAUUCAACAUGUUUAGUCCUUUAAUCCUUGUUCUUAGUACUACCUCCAUGAUCUCACACUCCUAAUCAUAUGAGCUAAAAUGUUACACAUUCAAUCAUUGAGAGAUAUAAAGAAAAAGACAUAUACAUAGAUAGAUUAUCUUUCCAUAAGGUUGAGUGAUCUGAUCUGACAAAUGUUAUAAGUGCUACACUCAUGAACUUAUCAUCCAUCAACUUGUCUUGCUCACUAUGCUUAAGAUUAGAGAAGAACAAAUACACUUUUGGUUCUGUUGGUGUUUUCCACCAACAGAGCCCAUGCACUUGAUCUCUGCCUUGUCUCUAUGAGCAGGUACACUACGAGCACAAACACACUGAGCAAGAUACUGCUAACACCGCACUUCGAACUGCUGGGCAAACGAAGAACAUGGGUGACACCGUAUUAAAAGGUGCAGACGUCAAGGUCCGCACCUGAAUCAAAUGACGCACCUGAAGAAUGAACACGAUGAGAAGUCUUGACAAGAAGACUUAAAACAUUGAACCCUCGCCGAAAGGUAAGAUUGGUAGUUAUCCAUAUUUAUCCUUUCUGCAUUCCCUUUUCCAUUUAAUUAUUUACUUUCCUUAAAUAGAUUAUUAGUUAAAUCAUGCUAUCUUGAAAAGAAAAUAAAAAUGUUAAAAAAUACUAAGCCCCAUGUGAGUAUACGAGUGGCAUAAAACUCAUAAGUACCUUCACUGUGGUGGCAUAAAAAUAAAAUAAAUAUUUCUUUUCUACUUUAUAAAAUAAAAAUAUAAAAACAGGGAGUAAUAUUUAAUGAGGAAGCUCAACGUGAUGAAGGCUAGAUAUUUAUGCUAACACUUAAUUAGUUCCACAAGCUUUGUUGUCUAUUUGAGCUCCACAGAAUUUAAGAAUCAAGAAGACUAGCAGACAGAGGACAUUCUAAUCGCUGUCAGAAUACUGCUGACUUUCAAAUACACCUCUGCCACCUGCUAGCUACAUCAAGAGAAAUUACGUCAAAAUUCAGCUUGGAGGAGAGCACCCCCAUUUAUCUCGCUAAGUAUUUCUACCUAUCUUUAUACUUAUAUUAUAUUAGAAUAUUAAAAUACAUAAACUAUGAAAAACCAAAUAAAGAUUUUGUGCUUAUAUAUAUAUCUUUUGCUUAGUGUGUUUAAUAAAUAAAUAAAGUGGCUAUGUUAAUCUGAAUCUUAAUAAUAAAACUCUAGCAUGGAUAUGAUGAAUAGUUGCUCUGCCUAAUUUGCAAAUUUGAAGUUCUCUCUCAAGUUUAGACAUAACUGUUAUAAUUUAAAGCUUGCUCUAGAUCUAAACUUGUGGGAUCAAAACUUGAUCUGAAAUCUAAGUUGUUAACGGAUAUGAUAUGGGAAGGUUGAGCUGUUGUUUAUCUAUUCCUAGAGAUGCUAGAAUUCUGGAGAAUUUUAUCUUUGAAAAAUCUUUAAAAUGUUGCAUGAUGAGUUCCUGUAUGAUGAAAGUUUAAAUUCCUACCACAGCCAUAUAUACAUGCUUGCUAGACUUUGAGCCACACAUUUAUUAUUUACUGCUUAUGAGCAUUGAGUGUGGUCAAGCUGUGUAGACCCUUAGGAGCUUGUCAUGUGGUUAAAUCAAGAUUCACUUGCACGUUCACUCAUAUAUAUGCUACUUCUACUCCGGAAGUACCAUCCACAUAUAUCCAUCCAUUUCCAUCUCCAAAAUCACCUAAAAAUAUUCUAUUCCUAAUUCGGGAGAGAAUAGCCAAAAACAUCUGUGUUUUUCUCUUGUGAAAUAAAUGCUCAAGUUAUCUUGCUACUACCACUUGCUAUAUUAUCUCAAGAGAUGAGUGCUCUGAAAAAAAAGAAAAAAAAAAGAGAAAAGAAAAAAAUAAACGAGGAAAUAAAAAGCGGCAAGUGCCCGGAACCUCGAAAUAAAAGAAAAAGAAGUGAGACGAGAGGUAAAAAUGGACAAGUGUCCGACAGUAGAAUUAGGGGUACAGGAUAAAAGAAGAGAAUCUCAUUCUCCUCAUAAAGUUUCAAAAAGCAAGGAAGGUAUGUAUCCCCUCAAAAGAGCAAAAGUAGAAUUAGACUUUCACCAUUGUUAUCACCAUCAUCACCAUACACUAUUCAUUCGCCACACAUGCAUAUCUUGAUUUGGCUUAUUGAUUUGUUUCUUUGGAUCCAUGGUUUGACUAUACAAUAAAUGUCUUGUAAGUAUGUAUAUUUUAUCUCCCACCUAUGAGCUCCAGAUAUUAAAGCCUUAUUAGAGUAAGGUGAGAGAGAAGACAAUGUCACUAUCCCUUAUACCACAAAUACCACAUAUUUUGAGAGAAGGCAUAUACCAUCACUGCCUUGGUAAGGAACCAGAAAUACCACAAAAGAGAGAUAUGAGAGAGUCAUACAAAGGAAUCUCUGAGUUUUAUUUGGAAAUCUGCAAAAACUCCAGAGCUAUAGCUGAUCAAGAAUAAGCGACAUGGCACUUGACUGGACUGUUCUAUCUUUUAACCACUCAAGACACAAGUGACGGUUACAAGUCCCAUGGUGAAAGGUAAAGUAAGUAAGUUUUAAGUCUUGACAGUUUACUCUAACUCAGAGAUGAGACCUCAUUUAAAAGCAUGUGUACCGUCAAUUUUUAAAGAUAUUGCAACAACUUAUGAUCCAUAGCUGAGUCUAUCCUUCCUCAGGGACGAGCAAGAGGUAAGCUUGGGGGAGUUUGUUGACGGUCCUUAAGUAUCAAAUUUAACUAUCAAAUAAACAAAGAAAAGGAUCCAAAUGAAAUCAACAUCGAGACUUAGUGUUUUAUCUGACAGAAUUCCACGAGUUUUGGUGUUUGUCUAUUUCUGCAGGAGGUUAUCAGGAAAUAAGGAAGAAAGGCCCACACGUCCGGAUUACAUAGAGAUAUCAACGUGUCGCGCAAUUAUCUUACAUCUAGAAGACUCCAGAAGCCACGGGAAGGAAGCGGAGACCGAACGGAGUCAGGGACAGGGCGCCCGCCCAAGUCCCUAGGGCGCCCGCCCACCUUUUUCGGCCAAUCACGCUCAAUCUCGCGGAUUAUGCUCCACCGACCUAAAGGAUCAAGAAUAACCGUUCAAUCAAUGUCGGUUUGAUCCGACGGCCCAGGUUCACUUGAGGGGACUAUAAAACCAGACCCCCUGGCCCCUGGAGGAGGCAACCCCUUGAUCAUUAUUCAUUAUUCAUAGACAGAGCAAAAGCUAGGGUUUAGAGAUGAGAGCUCUCCUCUCUUCUCUAAACUAGAGUAGAUCUAGAUAGUAGCAAGAUGGAGAGCGAAGGAGGAUUAGAGGAGAGGCCGGCCUGUCGGUUCUUCCUCCGGUUGUACUUCGCCAUGAUCAAGCUCUAAUCAAGCUUGCUCAUGGGAUGACUCUGGUAAUCUACUUCUAAUUCAUUAUGCAAUUACUAAUCAUGUAUGUUCUGGUUCACAACUCUUUUGAGUACUUCUAAUCUAUAGGACCCUAUAGGUUAGAGUUGUAGUAUAGGUGUAAGCGUGGUGCUUAGACCUAGAUUACUUGUGGAUAUCCCCUGACUAGCUGGAUCGUGUGGUAGGCCGCGUAGGUGACAGUUACGUUGGUCCCCUGUAGUCCACCUCUCGUUAGCAGGACGGGUAGGGUUUAUUGACCUAUGGAUAAGCAUCCUUUGUGGUGUACUCUUAUCACGUGGUUCGUCCCAGACAUAGACAUACCCCUUUGAAGUAGAGAAACCAUAGUUAUCCUCUCUAUUCUGCUACCAUCGCCCAUAUACUAGAAUUGCUCUACUCUCUAUUCCCAUAUUACCAACAACUGUUAUCUUACCUUUAAUAUUGUUCUUAUUCGAUUCUACCAUCUUUCUUAUUCACACCUAUUUACUUAUCUUGGUUAAGUUAGAGCGUAGAUCAGUUCUCCCGUUUCCCUGUGGAUACGAUAAAACCUUUAACCGGGUAAAAGCUUCAACGGUAUCCGUGCGCUUGCGGAUUAUCUGUGUGCGUAUAAAUACCAUAGUACACUCUAGUGCCAUGCUGGGGAUGACAACCUAGUAUUCAAGUGGUGUUAGCAAGUGUCAACACUGCUACAAGUGCAACAGCCCCAACUAUUGCUUCUUCAGAUACUACUUCCUCUGCACGUAGUAGAGAAAUUAUGUGCCAUAAGUGCCAUGGUCAUGGACAUAUUGAUGCACAGUGUCCUAGUAGGAGGGCCAUGAUUGUGAAUGAGAAUGGUGAAUGGGAAUCUAAAAGUGAUCGUGAGGAAGAAGGUCCAAGAUAUGAUGAGGAUCAUGAAAACAAUGAUAAUGAGAUCCAACCCAAUGAAGGUGAAAACAACUGCUUUAUUUCUCUUUGUGUGCUUAGUGUUACUGCUGCAAAGGAAGAGAAUGGGCAGCGACACAAUCUUUUCCACACCCGAGGCAUGAUCAAAGAAAAAUUGUGUAGAAUUAUUGUUGACAAUGGCAGCUGCAACAAUAUUGCUAGCCAAGAAUUGUUUGAUAGAAUGGAGCUAAAACAAAGGCAUCAUCCUAAUCCAUAUAAGAUGCAGUGGCUCAAUGAUUGUGGUGCGCUGCGUGUGAGCCAUGUUGUGAUAGUUCCUUUCUCUAUUGGGAGGUAUAAUGAUCAUGUGGAGUGUGAUGUGGUGCCUAUGCAAGCAUGCCAACUGCUGCUAGGAAGACCAUGGUUAUAUGAUCGUGAUGUUCAGAUCUUUGGAAGAACCAACAAGCUGGCUUUCAUGUACAAAGGAGAGCGAAUUUCUUUGCUCCCUUUGACACCGGAGGAGAUUUUGAAGGAUGAUCUAAAAAAACAGCGAGAGAGCGAGAACCACUUGCGAGUGACCUACAAAAAUAGUGAGGGAGUGUUUCCGAAGCCAAAUAAAACCCCAGAGCCACAAACAACCAAGACAAAGGGAAAAGAGGGAUUAGUUAUGAUGGCUAGGAAGGGGGAUUUAAAAGAAUUGAGUGAACCCAAUGCCACAUUCUUUGUACUCCUGUACAAGGAAAAUUUUCUUUCCACUAAUGACUUAUCCUCUACUUUGCCAAGUGUUAUUUUUAAUGUGUUACAGGAAUGUGAAGAUGUCUUUCUAGAACAGGUACCACCAGGGCUGCCACCUAAGAGAGGAAUUGAACAUCAAAUUGACCUUGUUCCCGGUGCUUCACUUCCAAACCGAGCUGCAUACCGCACCAAUCCAGAGGAAACAAAAGAAAUUCAGCAACAAGUGGAAAAAUUGAUGAGAAAAAGGUAUGUGCAGGAAAGUCUUUCACCUUGUGCAGUCCUUGUUCUUUUAGUUCCUAAGAAAGAUAGUUUAUGGAGAAUGUGUGUUGAUUGUAGAGCUAUUAAUAACAUCAUAGUAAGAUAUAGGCAUCUCAUUCCUAGACUUGAUGAUAUGCUUGAUAAACAUAGUGGUGCAAUAAUUUUCACUAAAAUUGACAUGAGAAGUGGCUAUCCCUAAAUAAGAAUGAGAGAAGGAGAUGAGUGGAAAACAACUUUUAAAACCAAGUUUGGGUUCUAUGAAUGGUUGGUAAUGCGUUUUGGAUUGACUAAUGCACCAAGUACCUUUAUGAGAUUGAUGAAUCAUAUGCUUAGAUCUUUCAUUGACAAGUUUGUUGUGGUUUACUUUGGUGAUAUAUUAAUUUACAGUAAGUCUCUUGAUGAACAUGUUGGGCAUAUCCAAAGUGUGCUUGCUGUCCUACGUGAGCAAAAAUUGUAUGCUAACCUUGACAAGUGCACAUUUUACACCGAUGUUGACAGUCCUUAAGUACCAAAUAUAAUCAUCAAAUAAAUAAAGAAAAGGAUCUACAUGCAACCAACACCCAUACUUAGGGUUUUAUCUGACAGAAUUCCACGAGUUUUAGUGUUUGUCUAUUUCUGCAGGGGGUUAUCAGGAAAUAUGGAGGAAAGGCCCACAUGUCGGGUUUACAUAGAGAUAUUAACGUGCCGCGCAAUUUUCUAUCAUCUAGAAGACUCCAGAAGCCACGGGAAGGAAGCGGAGGCCGAACGGGCCCAGAGGCAGGGCGCCCGCCCUGACUUGGAGUCCAAACAGGACUCUCUUCGUGGAUUACUCUCCACCGACCUAAAGGAUCAAGGAUAACCGUCCAAUCAAUGUCGGUUUGAUCUGACGGCCCAGGUUCACUUGAGGGGACUAUAAAACCAGAUCCCCUGGCCCCUGGAGAAGACAAGUUUUUCAUAGAGUUGAGGGGAGCCCUCAAAGGAAAACCUCUUCUCUAAAUAAAAUUUACUUUAGGCUUAGCAUCCAAUGUGAGUAGAAUUAGAUCUUCUAGUUUCUACUAGAUUGAGAGAUAUAGAGUGGAGGUGUAGAUCGGAGGAAGGCCGGUCUGUCAGUGUCUACUCCGAGGUUGUACCUACGGGAUCAAUUCUUCUAACCCGAGGCUUGCUCCUAAGAUUCUUCAGUAAUUCGACUUCUAAAUCUAGUAAGUUCUUGUCUUAUUGUUCUUUGGUUUAUGAGUUUAUCCGAUUGAGUAUUAGAGUAAUCACUGCCUCAACAACUGGUGCGGGACUUCCUUCCACAAGCAAUUUGGUAUCUGAGAUGAACCUUUGAGGAGAAACCUGACGGCGUCUAGUUCUCCUCAACAAUUGCUCAGGAUCGUCAACGAAGUUUAGCGGCAAUUGAAAACCGCUCAUGCAUUGUCUAGAUUCAGGAUAAUGAGAAACAAGACAAGUGAAGGGUAAGUGUUGACGGUCCUUAAGUAACAAAUAUAAUCAACAAAUAAACAAAGAAAAGGAUCUAAAUGCAGCCGAUACUCAGACUUAGGGUUUUAUCUAACAGAAUUCCACGAGUUUUGGUGUUUGUCUAUUUCUGCAGGGGGUUAUGAGGAAUUACGAAAGAAAGGCCCACACAUCAGGUUUACAUAGAGAUAUUAACGUACUGUGCAAUUAUCCAACAUCUAGAAGAGUCCAGAAGCCACGGGAACGAACGGGAGACCGAACGGGCCCGGGGGCAGGGCGCCCGCCCUCCCCCCUUGGGCGCCCGCCCUGGUCUGAGGACCAAUCAGAACCAACAAGCAGUCCCUUCCCAGUGGUAAAAAUAUAAAUAACGAUACCUGGAAUACUUUCUGGUUAAAAUGCUACAUUGGUAUUAAUCUGUGCGCUUGCAGAUCUCAUUUAUUAUUCAUUCAGAAGAGCAAUUGCAUAUUUCAAUACCACGUCUCUCAUGUCAUGCUGGGGAUGACAACUUGGCUUAAGUGGCAUGAGAGAUAGGUUUGGCAUUUUUGGCGCCGUUAUCAGAAUUAGAAAACUAAGUCUACUUUUGGUAGUGACGUUAAGAAUGCCCAACAAGCAUUUUUGGCGCCGUUGCCGGGGAAGGUUGAUUACUAAUCAGGAAUGAAUAUGGAAUUUUGAGUCAUCAUUCGCAUCACUAAUAUGAUUGAGAUUAUCAAUUCUCUCAUACAGUUUUAGCCCAGUACUUUUCUAUUUUAUUUUAUGCAGGGUAAUGUAUGAAUAGAAGACAUCUUGUAGGAAAUUUUGUUGACAAUCCCGAAGCAUUAUUCAGAAAAACAAGAGCCAAGCUCAAGAAGAGAUCAUCAACAUUUCAGCACGAAGCUUCAUCCAAUCAAGAAGAUCACCGAAGUUUCACCCAGAACUUGUCUUCAGAGUUCGAAGUCAUGGCAAACAAAUCGAUCCGUGAGUUCUCAGCUCCCACUACGGACAACAUCCGCACUGGACCUGCUGCAGAGAUCGACGGCAACUUUGAGCUCAAGCUUGGACUUAUCAACAUGGUACAAUCCAACUAGUUCUGUGGGAAGGCACACGAAGAUGCUAGUGCUCAUCUCCAACACUUCCUCGAGAUUUGUAGCACAUUCACCAUAUUAGGAGUCCGCAGAGAUGCUAUACUACUUCGCCUCUUCCCAUUCUCACUAUUGGGGAGAGUGAAGCAGUGGUUGUACGCUACAAAGGAGAAGAAUACUACGUGGGCACUCUGCUCCACGAACUUUCUGGCUAAGUGCUUUCCCAUGGGCAAGACCAAUGCUCUCCGUGGGAAAAUUACAAGUUUUCAGCAACAACAUGAUGAAUCUGUUCCAGAAGCAUGGGAGCGCUUCCAAGACUACAUCCUAGAAUGUCCCCAUCAUGGAAUGGAGAGCUGGCUACUGAUGCAGACGUUUUAUCAUGGGCUCGGCAAUAGUGCCCGCGAGACCAUGGAUGCUGCAGCUGGAGGAGCAUUCCUAUCACUCACCACACCACAAGCCACAGCUCUUGUGGAGAAGAUGGCGUCCAACCAAGGCUGGAAUGAAGAAAGGACCCAGACACACAAAAGAGGUGGAGGUAUGCAUCAGCUCAAGGAGGUAGACAUGUUGUCUGCCAAACUAGACCUGCUCAUGAAGAAGCUCGAUGAUAGAGCUAGAGAUAAGAAAGAAGUCAUGCACAUCUACAACUCUCACAUGACUUGUGAGGAGUGUGGAGAUACUGGACACUUAGGCAAUCACUGCCCUGAGAUGCUUGAGGACGUGAACUACAUCAACAGCAACAACAACAACAAUUACUACAACCGUCCUCAAUAAAAUCAAGGUUGGAAUCAAUAGAGGCCUAACUACUCAGGUAAUUAUCAUGGUAAUAAUUCUUACAAUAAUAAUAAUAAUUUUCCACCUCUGAGAGAGUUAGUGUCUAAUCAAGGAAAGCCAAUGGAUAACCUAUCUAAGAAAUUGGCAUCCAAUGAUAAAAUGCUAGAAAAUAUAAUAAUAGAAUGGAUAAUUUCUCUAUUGCCAUCAAGAAUCAAAUUAGCUUUAAUAAAAUGAUUGAAUCUCAGUUAAAUCAAAUAGUUGCUGCUGUUCCUGCUACUAACCCCGGUAUACCAUCACAACCGAAAGGAUUAGAAUCUGCAAAUCUUGUAGACAUGUUUGAUACAGGUAACUACUGGAGUAACCCCGUUGCGGAAGUAACUACUGACCUUCUGUCGAUCAAGAGAGGCGAUCUAGGACGCCCCGUCAUCUCGAUCUCCAUCGGCAUGGUGGACUUCCCACAAGCACUCUACGACUUUGGCUCUAGUGUCAACAUUAUCCCUAGGGUACUCUAUGAAAAAUUCUUUACAUAUCCUUUAAUGGAAACAACCAUGUGUUUGCAGCUUGUAGAUCAGACGCUAAGUUUCCCAAAGGGAAUAUUGAAGAACCUCUGCGUCCGAGUUGGUACCUUGUACGCCCCAGCAGACUUCGUGGUGAUAGAGACCGGUAAUGAUGAGAGGGCACCCAUCAUCUUAGGGAGGCCAUUCCUGAACACCUCGGGAGCUGACAUUUACGCUAGUGCUGCCAAGAUCAGUUUCUACAUCAAAGGGAGGAAGGAGACAUUUUCCUUCAAGAACAAGACUACACAAAUCCCAGAGCAAUCCCGACAUGAACCAAGGAAGAGGACCAACAGGAGGAACAGGAGCAAGCAACUGUGGACCGAGUCAACUAAGAUAGUCACUACAAUUCAUGGAGGUCAAGAUCAUCAACUUAAGUCACCGUUCCUGACCAAGAAGGACGACCUAGGUAUGCCAAGCAUCCAUUAAUCCAUCAAUGGGUACAACUUCUACAAGACACUUUGCGACAUCAGGUCGGGCAUCAUCAUAAUGGCCGCAGUCACCUAUCGACUCUUGUUUGGAACCAUGCCCCUAAAACCGACAUACAUCUAGCUCCAGAUGGCAGAUCAGACAUUCCGAAAGGUUGAAGGUAUAGUAACUGAUGUCCCUGUCAAAAUAGACGAUCAUUUUGUCCAUGCAGACUUUCAGGUUAUUGAUAUGGGAGAAGAUGAGUAUGAUCCACCCAUCAUCCUUGGGAGACCGUUCCUCAGCACCGUUAAAGCAACAUCUACAUUGGAACUGGAGAAGUCCAUAUGCACUUCCCCUCUGAGAAGGUACGCCACUAUUUUACUGACCCUAACUAUAUAGUCGAAGACUCUAAGCAGGUCAGGACAAGAAGAAGACGACGCAACCGCGACCAGAGGAGGCAAAUCAUCAAGGACGGAUGGGUAGACUACGAAGGAGAAGUGGUAAGGUCUGAAGACAUACAGCUUGAAUGAAACUAUCUAGAGGAGACUCUAGCACCGAGUCAGGUGUGGAGAGAAAAGAUAGUUAUACACAAAGAAGAGGCGCCGUCGGAACCACCGACUAUGCCAUCCAACGAAUCCCAGGACGACUGAGAAAACAGAGAGUCCCGUUCGGAGGACUUAAAAACACCGAACGCCUUGCCAAGAGGUAAACUUGGUAGUUAUCCUUUUCCUUUCAAUUAUUUAAAAUUGUUUGCUUAGUUAAUCAUGUUCAUACUAUCUUAAAAAGAAAAUAAAAAUGUUAAAAAAUGGUAAGCCCCAUGUGAGUAUACGAGUGGCACAAAACCCAUAAGUAUAUUCACUGUGGUGGCAUAAAAAUAAAAUAAAUAAUUUUUUCUGCUCUAUAAAAUAAAAGAUAUAAAAAUAGAGAGUAACACUUAUUGAGGAAGCUCAACAUGAUAAAGGCUAGAUAUUUAUGCUAGCACCUAAUCAGUUUCACAAAGCUUUGUUGUCUAUUUGAGCUCCACAGAAUUCAAGAAUCAAGAAGACUAGCAGACGGAGGACAUUCUAAUCGCUGUCAGGGUACUGCCGACAUUCAAAUACAUCUCUACCACCUGCUAGCUACAUCAGAAGAAAUUACGUCAAAAUUCAGCUUGGGGGAGAGCACCCCCAUUUAUCCCGCUAAGUAUUUCUAUCUAUCUAUAUACUUAUACUAUAUUAAAAUAAAAAUAUACAUAACUAUGAAAAACCAAAUAAAGAUUUUGUGCUUACAUAUAUAUAUAUCUUUUGAUUAGUGUGCUUAAUAAAUAAAUAAAGUAGCUAUGCUAAACUGAAUCUUAAUAAAACUCUAGCAUGGAUAUGAUGAAUAGUUGCUCUGCCUAUUUUCAAAUUUGAAGUUCUCUCUCGAGUUUAGACAUAACUGUUAUAAUUUAAAGCUUUCUCUAAACCUGAACUUGUGGGAAGAGAACUUAAUCUGGAGUAUAAGUUGUUAACGGAUAUGAUAUAAGAAGGUUGAGCUAUUGUUUAUCUGUUCCUAGAGGUGCUAGAAUUCUGGAGAAUUUUAUCUUUGAAAAUCUUUAAAAUAUCACAUGAUGAGUUCCUGUAUGAUGAGAGUUUAAAUUCCUACCACAACCAUAUAUACAUGCUUGCUAAGACUUUGAGCCACACAUUUACUUUUUACUGCUUAUGAGCAUUGAGUGUGGUCAAGCUGUGUAGACCCUUUGGGGCUUGUCAUGUGGUUAAAUCAAGAUUCACUUGCACGUUCACUCACACAUGCUGCUUCUAUUUCGGUAGUACGCAUCCACAUAUAUCCACUCAUUUCUAUCUCCAGAACCACCCAAAAGUAUUCUACUCCUAAUCCGAGAGAGAAUAGCCAAAAACAUUCUCCUAUUUCUGUUUUUCCCUGUGAAAUAAAUGCUCAAGUUAUCUUGGUUACUACCACUUGCUAUAUUAUUUCGGGAGAUGAGUGCUCUAAAAAAAGAGAGAGAAAAAAAAGAAAGGAUACGAGGAAAUAAAAAGGGGCAAGUGCCCGGAACCUCGAAAGAAAAGAAAAAGUGAGACGAGAGGUAAAAAUAGACAAGUGUCCAACAGUACAAUUAGGGGUACAAGAUACCCACCUGAGAGGAAAAAAGAAAAUAUAGAGCAUCUUAUUCCCCUCAAAAGGUUUCAAAAGAGCAAGAAAGGUAUGUAUCCCCUCAAAAGAGCAAAAGUAGAAUUAGACUUUCACCAUUGCUUUCACCAUUGUUAUCACCAUCAUCACCAUACACCAUUCAUUCGCCACACAUGCACAUCUUGAUUUGACUUAUUGACUUGUUUCUCUGGAUCCAUGGUUUGACUACGCAAUAAAUGUCUUGUAAGUAUGUAUACUUCAUCUCCCACCUAUGAGCUCCAGAUAUCAAAAAAGCCUUAUUAGAGUAGGAUGAGAGAGAAGGCAAUAUCACUAUUCCUUAUACCACAAAUACUACAUACUUUGAGAGAAGGCAUAUACCAUCACUGCUUUGGUGAGGAUCCAGAAAUACCACAAAAGAGAGAUCUGAGAGAGUCAUACAAGGAAUCUCUAAGUUUUAUUUGAAAAUCUGCAAAAACUCCAGAGCUAUAGCUAAUCAAGAAUAAGAGACAUGGCACUUGACUAGACCGUUCUAUCUUUUAACUGCUUAAGACAGAAGUGACGGUUACAAGUUCCAUGGUGAAAGGUAAAAUGAGUA